CCCCCUGCAGGCGGCAGCGCCCGUUUAUUUGAGGCUUCUAAUGUGAGGAAAAACACGGAAUGACAAGUGUGGGAAAGAGCAAGCACUAAAUUACUGUCAGAAAAAUAAACGGAGUAGCACAGUGGUGCUCAGUGAUUUACGGGGGCAAUUAGUCACCACCCCACGGCGCUGCUGAGGACAGCACGGCAGCAGACGAGUCAGGCCCACGAGGAAGAAGAGUCUUUGCACUGCUCUCCAGACAACUUUUCAAACAACAAGAGAGGAUAUUUGAGCACAUUAGGUUUUGUGUCUUCAUUCUGGCCAUGUGAAGAUGUGCCUGCUUCGCCUUCCAUCAUGACAGAAGUUUCCUGAGGCCUCCCCAGCUAUGCUCCCUAUACAGCCUGCAGAACGGUCGGCUGCCUCCAAUCCUGAGGUCAUCACUCAUCAAGAGGGGAUAAUCCCAGGGACAGCAGGAUCUGCUUCGUUACUUGGAUUUAGGAGCCAGAAACCCAUCAGGCAACUAAACAGUAACAAUGACCCACCAUUAAACACACUGAGAGAAGAGCAUGAUGAGGAGUUUGUACAAGAAAAAGCCAGGAGCGCUUGCUGACAAUGCUUACAGAGAUGCAGACUUCUAUGAGCUCUGCCUGUUGAACUGCAGUAAAAAUAGAUCUCCUUCCCCAGAGAUGCUUGGAUGUUGGCACAAUAUCAGUUCAGAUGAUAGUCAAUGCAUGGACUUAAUAGAGUGAAAAGACUUUGGACUGUGAAGUCAGAUUACCUGGGUCUGAAUUCUACUUCUUCUACUUCUUUGUAGUAUGCUUUCACCACAUUAAAAAUUGUCUGAGCCUC
rnacentral:lncRNA from 1 species